GAAGCGAUUUGUGAGCUUUCCCUCCUCCAUUGAAGCAGCUUCUUCGAUUAAUUAUGAAGAAUGCAGAAUUGAAUUGCAGUUGCCAAUGAAUGUUGCAGAUGGAUCUUGUGAUACUUCAUGAUUGUAUAUGAUAUUGCAACUUUUUUGUAAUAAUCCUACAAAAUUUAACUUGAAUGAUUACUUUCAUUCAUUUAUGUGAUAUAGCUUAGAUAAUGUAUAAUGAUUUGUUACACAUGAAUAUACUCAAGCUUACAAUA